rnacentral:rRNA from 1 species
GAUGAACGCUGGCGGCGUGCUUAACACAUGCAAGUCGAACGGAAAGGCCCAAGCUUGCUUGGGUACUCGAGUGGCGAACGGGUGAGUAACACGUGGGUGAUCUGCCCUGCACUUCGGGAUAAGCCUUGGAAACUGGGUCUAAUACCGGAUAGGACCACAUUUUGGAUGGUGUGGUGGAAAGUUUUUCGGUGUGGGAUGAGCUCGCGGCCUAUCAGCUUGUUGGUGGGGUAAUGGCCUACCAAGGCGUCGACGGGUAGCCGGCCUGAGAGGGUGUACGGCCACAUUGGGACUGAGAUACGGCCCAGACUCCUACGGGAGGCAGCAGUGGGGAAUAUUGCACAAUGGGCGCAAGCCUGAUGCAGCGACGCCGCGUGGGGGAUGACGGCCUUCGGGUUGUAAACUCCUUUCGCUAGGGACGAAGCGCAAGUGACGGUACCUGGAGAAGAAGCACCGGCUAACUACGUG